rnacentral:rRNA from 1 species
UACGUAGGGACCAAGCGUUGUUCGGAUUUACUGGGCGUAAAGGGCGCGUAGGCGGCCCCGCAAGUCACUUGUGAAAUCUCUGGGCUUAACCCAGAACGGCCAAGUGAAACUGCAGGGCUAGAGUGUAGAAGGGGCAAUCGGAAUUCUUGGUGUAGCGGUGAAAUGCGUAGAUAUCAAGAGGAACACCUGAGGUGAAGACGGGUUGCUGGUCUAACACUGACGCUGAGGCGCGAAAGCCAGGGGAGCAAACGGG